rnacentral:rRNA from 1 species
AGCGAACGCUGGCGGCAGGCCUAACACAUGCAAGUCGAACGGACCUUUCGGGGUUAGUGGCGGACGGGUGAGUAACACGUGGGAACGUGCCUUUAGGUUCGGAAUAGCUCCUGGAAACGGGUGGUAAUGCCGAAUGUGCCCUUCGGGGGAAAGAUUUAUCGCCUUUAGAGCGGCCCGCGUCUGAUUAGCUAGUUGGUGAGGUAAUGGCUCACCAAGGCGACGAUCAGUAGCUGGUCUGAGAGGAUGACCAGCCACAUUGGGACUGAGACACGGCCCAAACUCCUACGGGAGGCAGCAGUGGGGAAUCUUGCACAAUGGGCGAAAGCCUGACGCAGCCAUGCCGCGUGGAUGAUGAAGGUCUUAGGAUUGUAAAAUCCUUUCACCGGUGAAGAUAAUGACUGUAGCCGGAGAAGAAGCCCCGGCUAACUUCGUGCCAGCAGCCGCAGUAAGAC